AUGAAGUCGUGAUUGGCCAACCGGUGGCUGUAGUGGUCAGGUGACUUGUUGCUAUAGGCAAACCCCGUGCCUACAGUCACAUGAUCACAACAACCCCGGCAGACAACUUGUGAUUGGUCAGGCCGUUCCUGCUGUAGUCAGGUGACCUGUUAUGGGCAACGCUCAUCCCGCAGGGAGAUGGGACACCUGCAUCCUGCAAAGUGCUGCAGAAAAAAAAAAUAAGCCGUAAAGUGAGACUCCGGGGUUUCUGUGUCUAGUUUAAAAGGGUGAUAUUGUUUUAAAAACUUUCGACAUGUUGAAGAGAAAAAAAAAUUGGAUAUGUCGGGGUCUGUGCAUUCAGACCAUGCCGGAUAGCUAGAACUAGCUGUGAGAAGAGCACGCAAGAUGUCCUAAUAGAGAGGAAAAAAAGUCUUAUUCAGAUGGUCUCAUACAGACUAAUAGACGCAUCCCCUGGAGAUAUGUGCAAAAUGCAGCAUCAAAAGGAGUGGUCUGAAUGCAAAGGCAAAUGUACAACAACUGCAGAAGACGCUCAGGGGGUCAUACGGACCACCAGGCUGCUUGCAGCUACAACUCCCAGCAUGCCCCCAAAUCAGCAUUAAUUCUGUGUGCACCAGCCCUAACUAUAAGAAUUGUACAGCAUCAAGUACCAACCUAUAAACUUUCUGCCUUCUUGAGAACCCAAUGCCACAGGCUAGACCAAACAAACCAACAAAACACAAUACAAAGAAACUUGCAGCAACUUUGUUGCGGAUGAC